rfam:Schistosoma mattheei strain Denwood, Zambia genome assembly, scaffold: SMTD_scaffold0006699
AUUCAGCUGAUGAGUCUCAAAUAGGACGAAACGCGCAUCCUGGAU